rnacentral:rRNA from 1 species
UACGUAGGUGGCAAGCGUUGUCCGGAUUUACUGGGCGUAAAGAGCGCGCAGGCGGUCGGAUAAGUCGAAUGUGAAAGCCCCCGGCUCAACUGGGGAGGGUCAUUCGAUACUGUUCGACUCGAAGGCAGGAGAGGGAAGUGGAAUUCCCAGUGUAGAGGUGAAAUUCGUAGAUAUUGGGAAGAACACCAGUGGCGAAGGCGGCUAACUGGUCCAGCACUGACGCUGAGGUGCGAAAGCGUGGGGAGCAAACAGG